UGGGGAAUAUUGGGCAAUGGGCGAAAGCCUUACCCAGCAACGCCGCGUGAGGGAAGAAGGUUUUCGGAUUGUAAACCUCUGUCCUGGGGGACGAAGGAAGUGACGGUACCCCGGGAGGAAGCCCCGGCUAACUACGUGCCAGCAGCCGCGGUAAUACGUAGGGGGCGAGCGUUGUCCGGAAUUAUUGGGCGUAAAGGGCGCGUAGACGGCCGAGUAAGUUAUAGGGUGAAAGCCCAUCUUUCAAGGAUGGAAUUGCCUGUAAUACUGCCUGGCUUGAGUGCAGGAGAGGGAAGCGGAAUUCCUAGGUGUAGCGGUGAAAUGCGUAGAUAUUAGGAGGAACACCAGUGGCGAAGGCGGCUUUCUGGACUGUAACUGACGUUGAGGCGCGAAAGCGUGGGGAGCAAACAGGAUUAGAUACC
rnacentral:rRNA from 1 species